AGCGAACGCUGGCGGCAGGCUUAACACAUGCAAGUCGAGCGGGCACUUUCGGGUGUCAGCGGCGGACGGGUGAGUAACGCGUGGGAACGUGCCCUCUGGUUCGGAAUAACUCAGGGAAACUUGAGCUAAUACCGGAUACGCCCUUUUGGGGAAAGGCUUGCUGCCGGAGGAUCGGCCCGCGUCUGAUUAGCUAGUUGGUGAGGUAACGGCUCACCAAGGCGACGAUCAGUAGCUGGUCUGAGAGGAUGAUCAGCAACACUGGGACUGAGACACGGCCCAGGCUCCUACGGGAGGCAGCAGUGGGGAAUAUUGGACAAUGGGCGCAAGCCUGAUCCAGCCAUGCCGCGUGAGUGAUCAAGGCCUUAGGGUUGUAAAGCUCUUUUAUCCGGGACGAUAAUGACGGUACCGGAGGAAUAAGCCCCGGCUAACUUCGUG
rnacentral:rRNA from 1 species